UACGUAGGUGGCAAGCGUUAUCCGGAAUUAUUGGGCGUAAAGAGCGCGCAGGUGGUUGAUUAAGUCUGAUGUGAAAGCCCACGGCUUAACCGUGGAGGGUCGUCGUGAACGGGUGAGCUUGAGGGUAUCAGGGGCUGGUGGAAUUCCCGGUGUAGUGGUGAAAUGCGUAGAGAUCGGGAGGAACACCUGUGGCGAAGGCGGCCAGCUGGGAUACACCUGACGCUGAGAUGCGAAGGCGUGGGGAGCGAACGGGAUUAGAUACCCCGGUAGUCCCUGA
rnacentral:rRNA from 1 species